rnacentral:lncRNA from 1 species
AGAGAUUUUAGUAAUAAUUAAUAACUGGGCUUUUAAAUAUUUUGAACCAGUAGUCCGGAUUUGAGAAGUUAUUAAUGCUAGGUAGUUGGAUUGUUAUCAUAACCGAAUGCUAGCCGAAAGCAUAAGAGACAAAUGUUUUUUUCGUUUAUUUCAUUUUGUGAAACAACCGUUAUACUUUAAAAGCUUAAGCUGUUAGAGAACAGUGUUUAAAUAUUUUUAUAUUUAACACUCUCCCUCACGUCUCACGUCUGGGCUCGAGACUUUUUAAUUGGUUCAUGACGUGAGCUUGAAUUAAAUGGGAGGAAAUUAAUAUGCUAGGAGCCUGGCGUGACUCGAACUCAGGACCUCCUGCUCUGAUACCAUGUGAAACAACCGUUGUACUCUAAAAGCUUAAGCUGUUAGAGAACGGUGUUUAAACAUUUUUAUAUUUAACACUCCCCCUCACGUCUGGGCUCGAAACUUUUUAAUCGACCCAUGACAUGGGUUUGAAUUAAAUGGGAGAAAAUUAAUAUGCUAGGAGCCUGGCGUGACUCGAACUCAGGACCUCCUGCUCUGAUACCAUGUGAAACAACCGUUGUACUCUAAAAGCUAAGCUUAAGCUUUUAGAGUACAACGGUUGUUUCACACAUUUAGAAAUAAACUUAGCUAGAAAUGUGAAAAUCAACUAGGAUUCGAACUUAGGUCUCGGAUACCAACCACCAAACCCUUUUGCCACUUGCACUAGGGACGGUCGGUCAUAAGAGACAAAUGUUAUAUGGGUGUUAUGUGGGUGUUAUGUGGAUGUUAUGUGGGGCAAAGUACUAUACCAUAGAUUUGAUAGGAGCUAGCCGCUUCUUGAAACCGCAGAAGUCAUCUCUAGAAUCUCACAUCGAUCGCCGAAUAAUUCUAGUCUACAUGUAUAAUUAAACUUGAAUUUGACAAAGAUGUCCGGGUUGUAACGAGGUAAGUCUAUAACACUUCAAUAGUCUCACAAUGGAUGAAAAAAUGAUUGUGAUUGAGAACGUAAAGAUUAAGACGCUAGUAAUAAUAAUUGGGCUUAAGCAUGUUGGAUUAGUGGUUCUGGUGAUUAUAAGGAUAGAGCAAAAUUUUUACUCAUUU